GACGAACCGUGCGAACGUUGUUCGGAUUCACUGGGCUUAAAGGGCGCGUAGGCGGGUGGUCAAGUCAGAGGUGAAAUCUUUCGGCUCAACCGGAAAAGUGCCCCUGAUACUGGCCAUCUUGAGGGAGGCAGGGGCAUGUGGAACUUCCGGUGGAGCGGUGAAAUGCGUAGAUAUCGGAAGGAACGCCGGUGGCGAAAGCGACGUGCUGGACCUCUUCUGACGCUGAGGCGCGAAAGCUAGGGGAGCAAACGGG
rnacentral:rRNA from 1 species